ACGGCCGCGGUAUCCUAACCGUGCGAAGGUAGCGUAAUCACUUGUCUUCUAAAUAAAGACUUGUAUGAAAGGCAUCACGAGGGCUUAACUGUCUCCUUUCUCCAAUCAGUGAACCUAAUCUCCCCGUGAAGAAGCGGGGAUAACUAUAUUAGACGAGAAGACCCUAUGGAGCUUUAAAUACUAUAACAUAUGCUUUUCCCCCCUAUAUCACCAAGGUGUCUCACCUUUCACAGCUAAUUGAUUAUAUAUUUUUGGUUGGGGUGACCGCGGAGAAUAAACCAUCCUCCACAAUGAAUGGGGAUCCCCCCAAUAAACAAGCCACAACUUUACCCAUCAAUAAAUUGACUCUCAUGACCCAAUAUUUGAUCAACGAACCAAGUUACCCUAGGGAUAACAGCGCAAUCCACUUUAAGAGCUCCUAUCGACAAGUGGGCUUACGACCUCGAUGUUGGAUCAGGGUAUCCUAGUGGUGCAGCCGCUACUAAAGGUUCGUUUGUUCAACGAUUAAA
rnacentral:rRNA from 1 species